GUGAGAAAGGAGAGGUGAGAGAGGAGAGAGAAAAUAGGAUAGAGAGGUGGGGCUUGAAAGAGACGAGGAAGGAAGCCAUUUUCACGAAAGAGAAAAGCUGCUGAGCUUCACACAGAGAGCGAUUUGAAAGAGUGGAUCACUGCUGUUGUGAAAUUGGAGGUUGAUGAAGAUGGAGGAGCAGACGUUCAUUUUAAAGCCUUUCAGGUAAGCUUUUCAAGGAAGACUGGUUUGUGAAGGAGGUUGGGGAUGUCGAUCCAAAGCUUUCGCUCAUGAAUAAAGAGGUCGUCAUAUUGGGAAUGGAUAUCAAAGAAGUGGACAAUGAUUUCUUUCGGGUUCCUGUCAAGAUUUUGGAUCACCAGGAUAAAUGAUUAUACUUUGAAACGUUAUUUGAAAGCCGACGUAGAAAUAAACAACAUUGCUACAGAGGAUGAUAUCACUGAGAAUCUUCCAUCUAUUCCAUCUGGAUGCUCCAUUCCUGUUGUGCAUAUCGAUACAGAGCUGCUUGAAAAUGAAUCUUUGUAACUUCUCAAUAAAGACUCCUAUGUAAAUAGUCUUUGGACAGCUUUGCCGGUUUUUACAAAGGAGGAACAAGAUGCUCUUACAGCAACUCCUGAUCAUCCUUUGGCUUGUAUGUUUUCUAGCAGGCAAUUUGGUGGAACAGAUAUGGAACUUUGCUUGGCCCUCUACCAUCGCACUCUUACAUCCAAGCCUUUAGCCUGUGGUGGUUGUAAGUUUCUCAUAAAGGUAAGGUUCACAACCUUUACAGUAUUUAAAGCAAGCCGUUUUUCCAUGCCCUUUCAUUUGGCACACAACCAGUUUAAUAAGGUGCCUGGAGAACGAAGGUUAAACUAGUCGAAAUGGUUUUAUCAAUUUUCUAGCUCGGUAAUUUUUGACAUACAUAUGGUGGGGAGCUUUUUGAUGCCUAUGUUGCUGUCAGACAGCUGCUCAAUUAUCAUCAGCAGCCAUGAUCAUUUAUAUCCUCAAUGCCGCCAUGCCUGUCCCCUCUGCGACAUCUUUACUUUUCCAACCUUGGUUCAUUGUACUGGUAUUACUUGUUUUGCAACUGGGAUAGCCUUUGAACGAGAUUGGGUGGUACUGUUGUUGAGAACAAAUAGGGCAAUUGCUUUGGCCCAAGAAAACACAAUGCUCAGUCAAAUUGAUCUUCUUUGCGAGUUGAAGGUCUAUUGCACCAUGGACUCUAUACAUUGCCGGAGCUUCUGUCUUUCGUGUACUUCUGUCCAAGUAUGACACAGUUACAUGCCUAAAGCUUGCUGCUGGUCUUAUGAUAUUAACACUGCCAGUUCUGUGAAAUGAUGGAAGGUGCUGGAGAGAGGGGACCCACAACCGGGAUCAUGUCUUAUUCUUGUAGAUCAUUUCCAUCACUCCCCUCAUUUUAUCAAAUGGCUACGACCCCAAAGGAACUUAGUCCAUUGACGGAGAUCAUUUUAUCAAGUGGUUUACAUACUUGAGUUGAAGUAACUUAGUUCGUUGAUGCAGAUCAUUUUGCAAUUUGUCAAAUUGGCAACUAUGUUCAAUAUUACAGGUAUUUCUUAAUGGGUGCACACCCUAAUGUGGGGCAUACAGCCAGUUAAAAUGGAAAAUCUGGUUAGUUUCAUAUCUUAUCAUACCGUUCUGGGAAUUCAAUUCUGAUGGGCAACAGAUCUGAUGGGCAUACAGCCAGGCAAAAAAGAAACCCUUGCUUUUCUUUUUGUGUUUAAUAAUUAGCAAACCCCUCUCUUACUUAAUGGUUCAUUGUUCAUUUCAGUGUAAAACCCUUGCUUUUCUUAUUCUCUAUGCUAAUUUUUGCAUGUAAUCGCUCUUUCCUAAAAAUAUUUGCCUCUUCUAUGUUGCCUUUGUUAUAGGAGAAUCGCUACAUUAAUUUUUUGUGAUACUAGAUUGAUUGAA